CCUACGGGUGGCAGCAGUGGGGGAUAUUGCACAAUGGGGGGAACCCUGAUGCAGCGACGCCGCGUGGGUGAAGAAGCGCCUCGGCGCGUAAAGCCCUGUCAGCAGGGAAGAAAAUGACGGUACCUGAAGAAGAAGCCCCGGCUAACUACGUGCCAGCAGCCGCGGUAAUACGUAGGGAGCAAGCGUUAUCCGGAUUUACUGGGUGUAACGGGGGCGCAGACGGCGAUGCAAGCCAGGAGUGAAAGCCCGGGGCCCAACCCCGGGACUGCUCUUGGAACUGCGUGGCUGGAGUGCAGGAGGGGCAGGCGGAAUUCCUGGUGUAGCGGUGAAAUGCGUAGAUAUCAGGAGGAACACCGGUGGCGAAGGCGGCUUUCUGGACUGAAACUGACGCUGAGGCACGAAAGCGUGGGGAGCGAACAGGAUUAGAUACCCUUGUAGUC
rnacentral:rRNA from 1 species